AUUGAACGCUGGCAGCAGGCCUAACACAUGCAAGUCGAGCGGAUGAAGGGAGCUUGCUCCUGGAUUCAGCGGCGGACGGGUGAGUAAUGCCUAUGAAUCUGCCUGGUCGUGGGGGAUAACGUCCGGAAACGGGCGCUAAUACCGCAUCCGUCCUGCGGGAGAAAGUGGGGGAUCUUCGGACCUCACGCUAUCAGCUGAGCCUAGGUCGGAUUAGCUAGUUGGUGGGGUAAAGGCCUACCAAGGCGACGAUCCGUAACUGGUCUGAGAGGAUGAUCAGUCACACUGGAACUGAGACACGGUCCAGACUCCUACGGGAGGCAGCAGUGGGGAAUAUUGGACAAUGGGCGAAAGCCUGAUCCAGCCAUGCCGCGUGUGUGAAGAAGGUCUUCGGAUUGUAAAGCACUUUAAGUUGGGAGGAAGGGCAGUAAGUUAAUACCUUGCUGCUUUGACGUUACCAACAGAAUAAGCACCGGCUAACUUCGUG
rnacentral:rRNA from 1 species